rnacentral:misc_RNA from 1 species
AACCAUAGAAACCUGCGGAGUACCUGCGGAGGGAUCAUUACACAAUAACAUAUGAAGGCUGCUCGCAGCUGGAGUAUUUAUUACCCUUGUCUUUUGCGCACUUGUUGUUUCCUGGGCGGGCUCGCCCGCCACCAGGACCACAUACAAACCUUUUUUAUGUAGUUGCAAUCAGCGUCAGUAUAACAAAUGUAAAUCAUUUACAACUUUCAACAACGGAUCU